rnacentral:rRNA from 1 species
UACGAAGGGGGGCUAGCGUUGCUCGGAAUCACUGGGCGUAAAGCGCACGUAGGCGGCUUCUUAAGUCAGGGGUGAAAUCCUGGAGCUCAACUCCAGAACUGCCUUUGAUACUGAAGAUCUUGAGUUCGGGAGAGGUGAGUGGAACUGCGAGUGUAGAGGUGAAAAUUCGUAGAUAUUCGCAAGAACACCGGUGGCGAAGGCGGCCCACUGGUCCGGUACUGACGCUGA